CUCUCCCCCACUUCUUUCCCACUUUGGCAGAUGCUGAGGGUUGGAAAAGCAAAAGCAGAUGUGUGGCCCAAAACUGCUCCAAAGAAAGAUGAGAACAGCUUAGUUCCUCCUGCCCCUGUGGACAGCGAUGGGGAGAGUGAUAGUUCAGACCGUGUUCCUGUGCCCAGUUUUCAAAAUUCCUUCAGCCAAGCUAUUGAAGCAGCCUUCAUGAAACUGGACACACCAGCUACUUCAGAUCCCCUCUCUGAAGAGAAAGGAGGAAAGAAAAGAAAAAAACAGAAACAGAAGCUCCUGUUCAGCACCUCAGUCGUCCACACCAAGUGACACUACUGGCCCAGGCUACCUUCUCCAUCUGGUUUUUUUGUUUUUUUUUCCCCCAUGCUUUUGUUUGGCUGCUGUAAUUUUUAAGUAUUUGAGUUUGAACAGAUUAGCUCUGGGGGGAGGGGGUUUCCACAAUGUGAGGGGGAACCAAGAAAAUUUUAAAUACAGUGUAUUUUCCAGCUUCCUGUCUUUACACCAAAAUAAAGUAUUC
rnacentral:sRNA from 1 species